rnacentral:rRNA from 1 species
GAUGAACGCUGGCGGCGUGCCUAAUACAUGCAAGUCGAGCGAACGGACGAGAAGCUUGCUUCUCUGAUGUUAGCGGCGGACGGGUGAGUAACACGUGGAUAACCUACCUAUAAGACUGGGAUAACUUCGGGAAACCGGAGCUAAUACCGGAUAAUAUUUUGAGCCGCAUGGUUCAAAAGUGAAAGACGGUCUUGCUGUCACUUAUAGAUGGAUCCGCGCUGCAUUAGCUAGUUGGUAAGGUAACGGCUUACCAAGGCAACGAUGCAUAGCCGACCUGAGAGGGUGAUCGGCCACACUGGAACUGAGACACGGUCCAGACUCCUACGGGAGGCAGCAGUAGGGAAUCGUACGCAAUGGGCGAAAGCCUGACGGAGCAACGCCGCGUGAGUGAUGAAGGUCUUCGGAUCGUAAAACUCUGUUAUUAGGGAAGAACAUAUGUGUAAGUAACUGUGCACAUAUUGACGGUAUCUAAUCAGAAAGCCACGGCUAACUACGUG